rnacentral:lncRNA from 12 species
GAGAGAAAUAAGAGAUGCCUGAAGGGAAGCAAGAGUGGAAAGCAUCCUUAAAAUGACUGAUUUACAAUUGAUCUAUUUCUACAACUGUACAAUGCUGAACAUUGCUCUUGUCUUCAUACCCAUACACAUUUGCUGCAUAUAUUCCCAAUAAUAUAUGCAGAACAUUUGCUCCGAGCAAUAC